AGGAGAGAGAAUGUUGGUUCAAAUCUAAGAUGCAGAGCAGAUUGGUUAAGGACUAAGUUAGUUGAUCAUUUCCUAAGACAAGACUAGGACUAGCAGCAAAGGUGGUAUGGAUACUAUCAAGAUGAGAGGAGAAGUGGACAAACUGAAAACUAGUUCAAGGUCUAACUUUACAAACAUGACCUACCCACUGUGGCAUCCCUCUUACGCUUAGCCUGAUGUGCUUUGGUAGAGGAAGCACCACCCAUAUGAGUCUGCAUUUGCCAAAGGUGCCUUAGAAGAAAGGGAAAGAACUGGAACAGGUCAGCAAGUCCCAUGCUAAUGGGACUCAUGUCAAGCUGGGUCAAGUUGGGGUGUAGAUCUCUCAUUGAGAGCUAAAGCAUGGCGCUAAAAUAAGGGAAAGCAGAGACAUAGAAAACAAUCAAAUCUGAAGAAACCAGAGGAUGGAGAUGGAGGCUGUAGAACAAGGUGGGAAUGGAAGCUGGUGGAGAACAAUAAGGUGUCCUGCUGAGGAUCCCUGGUGCCCAGUAGGGAACACCGUGAGGAGGAGGAUUAAGAAAGGCACCCUUUCCACUGAUUUGCAUCGCCAUUUGUACAUGGAGUUUGGCUACAGCAAAAUCCGUUGCUAUCUCACCAGCUACAAGAAGCAAAGAACGAAUUGCAAUUCAUUUUUGUGCUCUAGGACCCGGUUGAGGCUUUAAAGGUAAAGUGUCUUCUCAUUUUGAGGUGCCCUCACAUCCACCUAGACUGCCAUCUCUGGACAUCAUAAAGUCAUAUCCCCACACUUCGUUCUACAAGUGGCCCCUAGCAUAGGCCUCACUGCCAUUCCAGGCAGUGCCUGGUACCUGGUUCUUCUCAUCCUCCCUGCUUUAUCUCCACUGGCACUUUCCUGUGUGCAGCAGAUUUAUGCACCACAAUACUCUGCAAGUUUCAGCUACUAAUACUACCUCUAGUAUUUCUAAUAAUAAAUAAAAUGUAUUGUGUUCUGACUGUGUCAGGCAUUGUGAUUAGUGCUGUGCCUGAAUUACCUUAUUUAAUCCUGACUACCACCCUAGGAAGUAAAUACCUUUUGCCUGCCCCUUAAGGAUUUACACUAUCCUCUCAAGUAUCCUGAUUUCCCCACUCAUUUUUUUUCCUUCUCUGUUAGUUUCAAUGUUUCCAUAGAAUAUAGCUUUUCUGAGCUAGAAAGGACCUGAGAGACAUUUGAUUUGACAAAUGAGGAAAUGAAUGCCCAGAGAGAGGAUGGAUUUACCUCAGGCCUCCUCACCUCAUGAUUGGCAGAAAAAGGAUUAGAAUUCAGGUCUCUUGACUACAGGACAAUGUGCUUCUCUCACACACAUUUCCCAGGUUCAGCACCCGGCAAACAGACUAGUCUCCUCCUACCCAAUUUACUUCCUUCCUGUUUCCAUUUAAAUUUCUUCAGUCUUGUCUAUGAUGAUAGCUACUUCCACUUCCUCAACUUCUGUUCUCUCUUUGACCUCUCCAAUCUUACUUCCUCACUGCA
rnacentral:lncRNA from 10 species